CCAUAUUUUUCAUAUUGAAAUUCACAACCACACUUUCAUUAACAGCACAACUCAUAGUAUAUUUACAAUACUAUUCACAACGUACUUGUCUCACACCUAUCUACACUAAGACAGGGUUUACAAAAGGGAUGGGAUCUCAGUCCACAUCCGGGUUAUACUCAAGAUCCCUCUUUGGAUCAUCUUCUUCAAAAGUCUUUCUUCCCUUCAGGUUCCUCCUCCUCAGCUUCUCCUUAGGGUCCUGAAAUGGUUAUUCAAUAACCAAUGAGACCACGUCUCAGC
rnacentral:lncRNA from 1 species